rnacentral:rRNA from 1 species
AUGGACAUUGACUACGACAGCCUGGUGGGCGUUGUGCUCUUCAACCACUCAGAGGUGGACUUCGCCGUGAAGCCUGGCGACCGCGCCGCACGGAUGAUCAUCGAUGUGAUCGCGACGCCGGAUGUCGCCGAGGUGGAGGACCUCGAUGCCAUCGUUCAGGGUGUGAGGGAGGAUUUGGGUCCGCCGGCGUCUGAACUCCAAGCCUUGCUAGAUACAUGUAGAGAAGUGGUCUGUUUAGGCUGGUGGUGGAACAUUAGGGAAGGUACCCACCUUUGGUUGUGUGUGUUUAAUUUAUUUUGCACUGGACGUGUCCCUGAUUUCUAUCUAUGA